GAUGAACGCUAGCGGGAGGCUUAACACAUGCAAGUCGUGGGGCGGCACGGGGUAGCAAUAUCCUGGUGGCGACCGGCGCACGGGUGAGUAACGCGUAUGCAACCUACCCAGUACAGGGGGAUAGCCCGGAGAAAUUCGGAUUAAUACCCCAUAAUGAUAUUAAUAGGCAUCUUUUAAUAUUUAAAGCUACGGCGGUACUGGAUGGGCAUGCGUAAGAUUAGCUAGUUGGUAGGGUAACGGCCUACCAAGGCUCCGAUCUUUAGGGGUCCUGAGAGGGUGAUCCCCCACACUGGUACUGAGACACGGACCAGACUCCUACGGGAGGCAGCAGUGAGGAAUAUUGGUCAAUGGGCGCAAGCCUGAACCAGCCAUCCCGCGUGAAGGAAGAAGGCGCUAUGCGUUGUAAACUUCUUUUCCGGAGGAAUAAAAUUUUGUACGAGUACAGGACUGAAGGUACUCCGGGAAUAAGCAUCGGCUAACUCCGUGCCAGCAGCCGCCGUAAUAC
rnacentral:rRNA from 1 species